CAUCCAAGUGUAGCUGCAGGUAUCUGUGAGGGCAAGAGAUGUUCAAAACUGGACAAGUAAAUUGUUCCCAGGGCAGGCUCAGUAACAAUUACCCCUGUAUGGUUGUCUAUAUACAAGUUACGUGAAUAUUUU